CCUGCCACCAGGGUGGCAGAGAUUGGCACAUGUUCCUGGCAGCUGGGCUUGUGAAUACCCAAGGCCACACAGCGGCAAAGUCGGGGGACCAGCCCAGUGGGCUGAUGCCCAGCUGCUCAUCUGGGAAGUUCUACUGGGUUCUCACUUGUCAUUAGCAAACCCAGACUCCUUCCUUUAGGACUAUCAGACCAAGCUUCUCUUGGGAUCACUGAAGAUGCCUGAUGAUGAAUGCAAAAUGAUGACUCAUAUCAUAUUUAAGCAAGACUCUGGGUGUGAGUGUGAAUGGAAAUCACUCAAAAUCAGAGAUGUGGUCAUGUCUUAGCUGGAGAUGAUAAUGUGGGUCCAUUGAGCCUUCCCUGGUUUGCUCUGGAGCUUCUGAGAACCUGGAUCUGAAUGCUCGGGUGAACUGUUUCUAUGCACUGCCGAGUGUUAAAUAGCAAAAGAUUUCCAAGUGAUUCUUCAAAAUGUAACUGACCAGCCCAGUCACAAUUCUGGUAGCCCAUCGCAUUUCCAAAAAUUUCACACUUAUUGAAUUUCUACAUUCAACACAGGACAUCGGAAGCAACGGGAGUAAAGCUGUAAAGAAAAAUUGGAUUCCAGAAUGACCGAGAUUUCCCUGGGAUGUGUUUGGUGCUGUUUGAGCACAGGCAGAACUAGGUGAGAACGGCUCUGGAAAAGUCAAGCUACCUAUCUUCGUAUGGCUUCUUGAAAUGAUGUAUGUUUGCCCAGAGCCAGGGAGCGUAUGCAGUUUCGGGGGGAACAGCUAGGGACCCUGGGGAAAUGGACAUCUCAGCAUCCCAUCGCUAACCCCUUCAUGCAAGAGGAGGGAGAAAAGGAUGGGCACCAUGGGGGUGGACAAGGGGAAGCUCUGAGAAGCAGAACAACGAAGCAGCAAGGCUUUCUGCCAGCGUCUCUGCCCAUACACACUUGUAUCCCUUUGGUGCCAAACAGCCAGUAGUGAACAGAAGCCUCGGAGAGCUGGGACCCACCUUCCACACCCACUGUAGUGGAUUAGAUGGUGGCCCCGCAAAGAUACGUCCAUGUCCUAAACCCUGGAACCUGUGAAUAUGACUUUAUUUGGA